rnacentral:rRNA from 1 species
UACGAGGGGUGCAAGCGUUGCUCGGAAUUAUUGGGCGUAAAGGGUAGGUAGGUGGUCUCAUUUGUCUGGGGUGAAAGCCUUGAGCUUAACUCAAGAAGUGCCCCGGAAACGGUGAGACUAGAGUUUUGGAGAGGGUCGUGGAAUUCCCGGUGUAGCGGUGAAAUGCGUAGAGAUCGGGAGGAACACCAGAGGCGAAGGCGGCGACCUGGACAAGUACUGACGCUGAGACGCGAAAGCGUGGGGAGCGAACAGG